AGAGUUGAUCCUGGCUCAGAACGAACGCUGGCGGCGCGUUUAAACAUGCAAGUCGAACGGCAAGGGCACUUGUGCCCCCUAGAGUGGCGAACGGGUGAGUAACACGUAGAUAAUCUACCCUACAGUUGGGAUAGUCCAUGGAAACAUGGGGUAAUACCGGAUGUGACUGGUUUUUCAUAAGAGAAGCCAAGGAAAGGCGCUAAGGCGCCGCUGUGGGAUGAGUCUGCGCUCCAUUAGCUAGUUGGUGGGGUAAUGGCCUACCAAGGCUGCGAUGGAUAGCCGGCCUGAGAGGGUGAUCGGCCACAUUGGGACUGAGACACGGCCCAGACUCCUACGGGAGGCAGCAGUUAAGAAUCUUCCGCAAUGGACGCAAGUCUGACGGAGCGACGCCGCGUGAAACGAUGAAGGCCGUGAGGUUGUAAAGUUCUUUUCGUGGGGGAGGAAUAAUGAUGGCAGGGAAUGGUCAUCAGAUGACGUUAACCCAGGAAUAAGCCCCGGCUAACUACGUGCCAGCCGCAGC
rnacentral:rRNA from 1 species